AUGAAUGAUUCUAAGUUUCGUGACGCCUCCCAAGUCAUGUGUAACUGUGAGUCAAUUAAACCUUCUUCGUUUAUAAAUUACCCAGUCUCAGGUAUGCCUUUAUUAGGAGC